UGAAAAACCUUGACUUUGAAGUAUUUCUGGCUCAAAAUACUAAGGAGAAAAACAAGAGUGAACAGGAGAAAGUAAAGAAAAUAUUUAUACAGGUUGAAAGGUGGGUCGAAGCGUGACUAUCAUCUCUCAUUCUCUCUCCUUACAAGAUUCGAUUCAGUCGCCGUUCUUUUACCCUAAUCUCUGUCCUCUCUCAAACACACACCAUAAUGUUCCCAGAUUCUUAAGCCCCGUUUCGAUUCGAUUGGAUAAAAUGCAGGACGACACACAGUUGGAUGACAAAGUAGUGCAGACAUUUCAGAAUAGUCUUGUACAAGUUCAAGAUAUACUGGAACAAAAUAGGCUGCUAAUCAAUGAGAUUAAUCAGAAUCAUGAGUCCAAGAUUCCUGAGAAGUUAAGUAGAAAUGUGGGAUUGAUUAGAGAACUCAACAACAAUAUUAGAAGAGUGGUUGGUUUAUAUGCUCAUCUCUCAACUUCUUUCACAAAAUCUGUGGAUGCUUCAUCCGAGGGAGAUUCAAACGGUCAUAAAAGGGCCAGGCCUGGUUAGAUUCAUAACAAGAAGUCCAGAAAAAUCAGUCCAUUUGUCUGAUCUUAAUUAUUUUACCCAUUGUCUAAUUAUUUUCUUGAAAUUGCUUGUUAAAACUUAAUAUUAGCUCAAACUAUGUAACUCGAGCAUGUUUUGUUUGUUGAAAUUUCUUGCUUCGUUUGUGUUUUAGAUGAUUUACUCUUUAA